rnacentral:lncRNA from 1 species
AGGUUCAAAAACAAGUUUUCAAGUACAUCUGUUUUUCUUCAGAGCUGGGACUGAAUCCAGGACCUCACUGAUGGGGAGCCAGCACUCUGCCAACCUUCAAUACCAGUAACCACAAAAAACCUUCCAAUCUCGAAAAUGAAAAGAUAAAAACAAAAUAUCAAUUCUAGUGGAGGGUAAAGCACGCACUUCAAAGCAGAACAUGAUUAUGAUCAGCUGCUUCUAGCUGGUAAUCUUCAAAGUAAAAACUUUGGCCCAACAAAUCUUUGAGUCUCACUUUCACCUAGCUAGGGCACAGCGCGCCCCCUACUGGGAGUUCCCGAUUGAAUUCAAAAGCUCACUUUUAAUAUAUACUUGAGGAGUUUAACACCAAUGUUUGAAACUUUAAGGGAUUUUACAACUCAUCGUCGUACAGUUAUUUGUUUCUUGUACCCAUAAAGUUCAUUUUCAACAUUUUCCAUCAGAACCAUCUUAGCCUCGCAACAAACGUCAGGGCUCUCAUAUCUCUCAGCUUUUCCACUACCUCUCCCAUGAUGCCUUCCAUUCCCUCCCAUCCUAGGUGAGUCUCGACCUGGAUGCUGAGAAUAAAACCCAGGUCCUCUGCAAGCUGCUUUUAACCACGGAGCCAACUCUCCAUCCACCUCCGACACUAGGACCCGCACCUUCCAAAUCCCACCGAGGGACUUCAACUAUGACCCCCUGAGCCCCCGCGAGGCGAGUUUCCGGAGCUCGGCUGGGUGGGUGGGAAUGUGGUGCGCUGGGGAGGUAUAGAUCGCUUUGGUCUGCGCCUGCCCGGAGGAGUUGGGAAACAGCAGCCACAGCUCCUACCUUCCCAGCCAUGGCCUAAGGCGACUAGCUUGGGCACUGGCCACAGACAGAGUCUGGCAGUUCUAAACCCCACCCCAAGCUGACCACUGAAUCCCUGGGCUCUGCCUCUCACACUUUGUUAAGUUUAUCCUUCAGUUAUUGCACCACUCUCGAGCAACAAGCACCGCCCACAGACUGGUGCCUCAGGCCCGGGCUCCGCCUCUUGCCUGCCUACGUUCCGCCCUCGUCCUGUUGCUCCCCACCGGGCUCCACCUCUCGCGCACCAAGCCCCGCCCUCAGUCUAUUUCUCCACAUCCGGGCUCUGCCCUCUGGACCCCUGAGCUCCGCCCUCAGCCGCUGGCGUCACACCGAGGCCCCACCUCCCACGUGCCAGCGCUCCUCUCCCAGCGCUCACUGGUCCUUCCAGCAGUCCUCAGGUUGCACGCGACCGGCAGUGAACUUCCACUGGGUAGGGGUGGGAAGCCGGUGGCUCCAGGCAGCGGUGAUAACCCAGCAAGGAAGCAGAGUCGCAUUUCGGAGCGUCCACUCGUAACGCGGCCUCUCGCACACGGAGCCCGUAGUCCAGGGGAGAGGAGGCCAGGGCGGCCCUGGAGAGGUUGUAGCAUGCACUUGAACCUGCUGUAG